rnacentral:sRNA from 1 species
UUUUAGCCCAGAUGGGAGCGGUAUCCUUUGUGUGCCUUCUUUAGGCAGGCAAAGAUAUAGUGUACAGCUGGACUAGCU